rnacentral:lncRNA from 1 species
AUGGAUUCAGGGAGGUCCUUUCUGAUAUACAAAAGCUCCUUCCAGUUCUCCGUUCUUAAAAUCAGGGUGGACUAUUAUGAACUACUCCUCUGGCAUUUAAUAAGCAGAUCUGUUACCGUGCCCAUUUUUAACACUCUUGAAUAAGAAGAAAUUGGACCCAUGGAUAAGGAGUUCAAGAUUCAUGGUUGUCCUACCAGCAGAACCACUUUCACCAAAAGAAAAGCUUCAAGAAUUAUUAUGAAGGAUAUGAAGGGCAUAUUCUGAAUAAGGUAAGCAGAAUGAAUGAAUCUCUCUCAAACUUCAGUGAUCAGAAACCAUUUUAUUAUAUUGAAGACGUAUAGUACAAUGUAUGUCAGAACAGAACAUAAAUUCCCUUGACAUAAAAUUAUACUUUUUAAUGAAAACAAGCUACAGAUGGAUGGAAAUUCCUACUGAAUGCUCUGUCAGUCCCUUGCCAUUCUUAGCAUAGUUGGCAACAAUAAAUAUGGAGAAAAAAUGAAGAUCUUUCUACUC